rnacentral:rRNA from 1 species
UACAGAGGUCUCAAGCGUUGUUCGGAUUCAUUGGGCGUAAAGGGUGUGUAGGUGGCGCGCUAAGUCGAGUGUGAAAUUUCGGAGCUUAACUCCGAAACUGCAUUCGAUACUGGCGUGCUUGAGGACUGGAGAGGAGACUGGAAUUCAUGGUGUAGCAGUGAAAUGCGUAGAGAUCAUGAGGAAGACCAGUGGCGAAGGCGGGUCUCUGGACAGUUCCUGACACUGAGACACGAAGGCCAGGGGAGCAAACGGG